rnacentral:lncRNA from 1 species
UCUCAUCUCAAUGUGGAUUGGCUGUUCUCCACCUGUCUUCAAACUCUCAAACUCAGGAAGUGAUAACAAGGAGAGCCAGCUGCGGGCUGGGCUGGCAGUGAGGAGGAAGUCAUGGGGUCUGAGAAAGGGAAAUUUGAAGCCGGAAAAUAGAAACUUCAGGUGGGGCUUCUCUUCAAAUGCAGUUUCUGCCUUCUUUCUUUUUGCAAACUUACCCUGUGUCUGCCCGUGGACAUGGGCAGUGACAGCGGAUGCCUGACGGCGUGGAGGCCCAGACCCUUGUCCCGAGGGGCUCAGGACCUUGCCCUGGGCUAACUGGCAGAACGGAAGAGAAUGGUAUUUCUUGCACACCCAGAUGCUAUGGAACCAGAGAAUGCUGGAGCUGAAGGGAAGCUAGCUCAAUCCGACCUUUGCAAGAGAGGGAGGCCAAGACCCUGGAGCAUUUGGCGAGGGAGCUACUGAAUUUGUCUCAGCACCUUGGGACCCUCUGGCCCUUGCCCCUGACGUCCUGGAAGUCCUGGCUUUGCAGAGCCCACCAGAACCCACAGGAAAGCACUGUCCUGGGGAGGUGUUUUGACCUGAAUGGUAAUGAUGUGCCGGGCCUCCUUUGGUGUCUUCCCACAGCCGGCCCACGAGCCACAGGCCGGCUCCACACACCCCUCCCUGCUCCCGGUGCUCAGCGAGGACAAAGGUGAAGCCGAGGGCAGCGGCCAGCUGGCCCGGAGCAUGGUCUCCUUUGGCUCUUCCAGGGGCAGCCCGCGGCGGCGAAGAGAGCAGAGGGACCCGGGCCAGAUCCUGGACCACAACCUGGGCUGACGGCACCUGGCAGGGCCGUAGCGAAGACAACCAGGGGCCGCGGAGAAGAUGCCUGCGUGGGGCAGGCCCUGGGGGCUGAGAGCUGUGACGGCUUUAGUGCAAAGUGAAGGGACUCGUUUUACAGAUGGGGAAACUGAGCCCCAAGGGCAGGCUUGACCGAGGUCACACAGUCACAGGCAGGGAUUCGGGCUCUCCAGGGACUCUCAUCGGCACCAUCUCACCGGUGUUCACAGUCACUCUGAACCAUCCUGUGGACAAAUUUCCUCUCUGAGCCUCAGUUUCCUCAUUCAUGAAUGGGAGUCAUUAAUACCCGUCUGAUGGAGCAAUUAUGGGGAUCACACGAGACAUAACCGCGGAGCGGACAGCCCCAGGCCUGCAGAACGUGGUCCUCCCAGUGCUGAACGGCACCGUCCAGCCUGCUGCGUGGCUUCAUCAAGAAUCGUGUCCACGCAGAGGCCUCCAGUGAUGCCUGCAGCCAC